rnacentral:pre_miRNA from 1 species
CAUGUACUCUCUCCGUUCGGAAUUACUUGUCUCGAAAAUGGAUGUAUCUAGAAUUAAAAUACGUCUAGAUACAUCCAUUUCUGCGACAAGUAAUUCCGAACAGAGGGAGUACCUC